rnacentral:miRNA from 1 species
CCUGAAUUUGUUUGUGUGCUGGA